rnacentral:tRNA from 1 species
GGCCGAGUGGCGGAAUGGCAGACGCACGAGAUUUAAAAUCUCGGGUCCGUAAUCGGGCGUGCGGGUUCGACUCCCGCCUCGGCCA